rnacentral:rRNA from 1 species
UACGUAGGGACCAAGCGUUGUCCGGAAUCAUUGGGCGUAAAGAGCGUGUAGGCGGCUUGUUAAGUCUUGCGUGAAAUCUCGGGGCUCAACCCCGAGCGGUCGUGAGAAACUGGCAGGCUAGAGUGCGGGAGAGGAGAGUGGAAUUCCUGGUGUAGCGGUGAAAUGCGCAGAUAUCAGGAAGAACACCCGUAGCGAAGGCGGCUCUCUGGAACGCAACUGACGCUGAGACGCGAAAGCGUGGGGAGCAAACAGG